AGUGAACGCUGGCGGCAGGCCUAACACAUGCAAGUCGAACGGCAGCACAAGAGAGCUUGCUCUCUGGGUGGCGAGUGGCGGACGGGUGAGGAAUGCAUCGGAAUCUGCCCAUUUGUGGGGGAUAACCUCGGGAAACCGGGACUAAUGCCGCAUACGACCUACGGGUGAAAGCAGGGGAUCUUCGGACCUUGCGCAGAUGGAUGAGCCGAUGCCGGAUUAGCUAGUUGGAGGGGUAAAGGCCCACCAAGGCGACGAUCCGUAGCUGGUCUGAGAGGAUGAUCAGCCACACUGGGACUGAGACACGGCCCAGACUCCUACGGGAGGCAGCAGUGGGGAAUAUUGGACAAUGGGCGCAAGCCUGAUCCAGCCAUGCCGCGUGUGUGAAGAAGGCCUUCGGGUUGUAAAGCACUUUUGUUGGGAAAGAAAAGCAGCCGGUUAAUACCCGGUUGUCAUGACGGUACCCAAAGAAUAAGCACCGGCUAACUUCGUG
rnacentral:rRNA from 1 species